UACGAAGGGGGCUAGCGUUGUUCGGAAUUACUGGGCGUAAAGCGCGUGUAGGCGGGUCUUUAAGUCAGGGGUGAAAUGCCAAGGCUCAACCUUGGAACUGCCUUUGAUACUGGAGAUCUUGAGUCCGGGAGAGGUGAGUGGAACUGCGAGUGUAGAGGUGAAAUUCGUAGAUAUUCGCAAGAACACCAGUGGCGAAGGCGGCUCACUGGCCCGGAACUGACGCUGAGACGCGAAAGCGUGGG
rnacentral:rRNA from 1 species